GGGCAAGUGGGUGGCAGAGUCCAGGGCAGAUUGUUGUUCGGUUUUUGCCAGCUCUCGCAUCGCAAGUGGUUGACUAACAAAAGAAACUGCAAUGCCAUUGUAAAUAGUCGUCGGAGAGACACUCGCAAAUACACUCGCACAUACACACACACUCAUGAAUACACUCAUACAAAUGCCAGCUUUCAACUGCUUUAUGGUACAGUGGAGAUCCUUCGGAAGAGUUUUGGAAACCAACCAAACAAGAGUGCUCCCAAAGGCGACCCACUUUCCAAAUAAUUCUCCCCAACUUGCCUCUACAGAGAGUUCUGACUGUAUUAGCAUUUCCCCCCAUUCGGAUUCGCAUUUGGUUGUGGAUUUGGAUGUGGCUCCAUUAUGCCAGAGCCUCGUCAAGAGUCUGCGUCUCCAUUUGCUGGAUUGUACUACAGAUGGAUAUGGUACUCGGACUAGUAUGUGGGCGUGUGGUUCACCAAAGUGGUGCACAAAGUGCUGUCGGCGACCAGCAAAGAAUGUGUGAGAAAUGGAGAGCCCAAACAGAGAAAUAUAGAGAGUAGGUAGUAGGGGAAAGAGAAAGGGUCUCUCUCUGUUAGAUUCAGUUGCAGCUGCGACUACGAAUGCUGCUGGUUGUCGGUUGUUGGCUGCGGGUUUUCUCAUUUCCAACAGAAAACGACCUUCAACUCUUGCUGGCAGAAGAAAACCCCAGCAGCAAACACAGAAUCAGGUCAUGCCUAAAGAGGGCAUGGGGGUAUGGGGAAAGAGGGUCUACAAAACCAAAAUUGCAACCAACAAAACUAUGCAAUGCUCUCUUGGCCAACUCAAAAGCAGAUUUCAGUGUGAUUGUCGCUUUACAAUACUUUGAGGCACUAUACAUUAUGCAUAUAUGCACCAACAAGAGGGAACCACAAACGAGAAGCGAAAUGGAAGGAUAAGAGAGAAUUGUAAUAGGAAGAACGAUGCUCAUUGUGUGAUUGCUACAUUGAUUCUCAAAUCGUUUCUUAGAUCAUACAAAGCCCCAUAAUCUAUUAAAACCACAAUCGACAGAUCCAUAGAGUUUGUUUAUUCGUAUAUUCUAUUCUACGAUAUAAAACAAAGGAUUAUGUCUUGUAUAACAUCCUGCAAAACACUUCUUUUGGGAAAUGAUUUUCGUUCGCAGCACAUCCGAAGUAUCGAAAAGUCUCACAAUUGUUCGUCUUUUUGUAAUAGGUAAAUACUAGCUGAGAAGCAGAUGGAGAGCAGUCUGUUUCGUUGCCAUUUUUGGCCGGCUCUUGACCACAGAUCGCUGCAAGAAACAUUUAGCAUAUAUAUCAAUAUAUAUCAAGAUAUAUCAAUACUCCAUUGAGCUCUUUUCAUCCCCUCUAUGUACUCACGAUCCUUUAGGGCCAGUGACAGGUCAGACAGGGAAAAGCUAACACCUACGAGAAAAAUUAACUUCAUUUUCAUUUUAGAUUAGUGGGCUGCUUCUUCCAGAUUAUGUGGAGCGACUUACUUGGUUGCAUAUAGGAAGUAGAUAUACAUAUCAGAGGAAGAAUUGUGGAACACAGAAUAAAUCCAUUAGUUCUGGAAAGGGAAUUAAACCGGUAACUUAAAAAAACUGAUCCAAGGUCAAUACCUGAACAAAACCGAUACAUAGAAACCAAAAAUACGGAACCAUGACCGAAAGACACUUAAGAAGACGUCAUUUUCAAUUGAAUAUCCCUUUAUUGCUGACCAAUUUUUUCGUAAAAAUUAUUAUUCACUCACAUUAUUAAACAAUAGACUAUUCUUUGCACUUAGACUCGCAUUCCUCUUUCUUUUCGAAAAUAUUAUCGUUCUGACCACAUCCUCCGUAUAUCCAUUUUACGCAAACGUUCUUAUCGGGAUAAUAGGUAAAUUUCGGAAUAUAUGCCAAGCAUAUCACUGCACCUUUUCCCUGCUUGCCCGGCUCUUGACCACAGAUCGCUGAAAGAAACAUUUAACACAGAUAUAUCAAUAUUCCAUUGCGCUCUUUCCAUUCCCUCGCUAUACUCACGAUCCUUUAGAGCCAGUGAAAUGUCAGCCAGGGCAAAGAUAAUGCCUACAAGCAAAAUAAACCUCAUUUUUGUUGAAGAUUAGUGGAGUGUUUCUUCCAGAUUAUGUGGAGCGACUUAUUUGAGUUCAUUUGGGAAGUUGAUAGGAGUAAGAAUAAAUAUAUUAGUUCUGUAAAUGGAAUUAAACCGAAACUGAAGCCGUGAACCGAUAUUCUUCUAACCAUGACCAAAACAGACUUACAUUAGUGUCGUGGAAAACAAAGAGCCACGCCAAAAAACGCAAAGACGAUACAUAUCUACGCUGUAAAUGAGGAUUGAUGGACUGUGCCUUCUAAAUAAAAUAUGGAUAUAGGAAGUACUUAUACGAAUAAUAACGAGCGACUAAUGUGAUUUUAUGGGAAGUACAUCUAAAAGGAAUAUGAAUUGUGGUACACAGAAUAAUUUCAUUCGUUCUGUAAAGGGAAUCAAACCAUUACCUGAAAUGAACUGAUUCAGGUCAAUACCUAUACCUUAAUCCAGAACCGAUAUAUGGAACCCGAAAAUACGGAACCAUGAACCAUGACUGAUACGCGAAGUCUGUAACGCCUAAUGCUAAUCGGUGUCGGAGAUGUUAAAGUGCAAAGCCAGAAAGACGAAGUGAUGCCCACGAUGGAAAUUGACUUAAUUCUCGCUGUGGCUUGGUGGACUGUCCAUCAAUAUCGUCCCAGAGAAAAGAUGACAUUUUCAAUUAUAUAUCCUUUUAUUGCUGAACAAUUUA